UGCCCACGGCCUGCACUGAACACCGGCUCCUGAUUGUCCAAACGCAAUUCUUGUGUCUGCGCCCAAGAAUUGAGUGUGGACGUCGUGAGCCGGGGUUUCCUAUCGACGCCUGGCGGA
rnacentral:precursor_RNA from 15 species